rnacentral:rRNA from 1 species
GGGGAUUGCCAUGGGCGAAGCCUGAUGCAGCGACGCCGCGUGAGGGAUGACGGCCUUCGGGUUGUAAACCUCUUUCAGUAGGGAAGAAGCGAAAGUGACGGUACCUGCAGAAGAAGCGCCGGCUAACUACGUGCCAGCAGCCGCGGUAAUACGUAGGGCGCAAGCGUUAUCCGGAAUUAUUGGGCGUAAAGAGCUCGUAGGCGGUUUGUCGCGUCUGCCGUGAAAGUCCGGGGCUUAACUCCGGAUCUGCGGUGGGUACGGGCAGACUAGAGUGCUGUAGGGGAGACUGGAAUUCCUGGUGUAGCGGUGAAAUGCGCAGAUAUCAGGAGGAACACCGAUGGCGAAGGCAGGUCUCUGGGCAGUAACUGACGCUGAGGAGCGAAAGCAUGGGGAGCGAACAGGAUUAGAUACCCUGGUAGUCCAUGCCGUAAACGUUGGGCACUAGAUGUGGGGGACAUUCCACGUUCUCCGCGUCGUAGCUAACGCAUUAAGUGCCCCGCCUGGGGAGUACGGCCGCAAGGCUAAAACUCAAAGGAAUUGACGGGGGCCCGCACAAGCGGCGGAGCAUGCGGAUUAAUUCGAUGCAACGCGAAGAACCUUACCAAGGCUUGACAUGGACCGGAUCGGGCUAGAAAUAGUCUUUCCCUUCGGGGCUGGUUCACAGGUGGUGCAUGGUUGUCGUCAGCUCGUGUCGUGAGAUGUCGGGUUAAGUCCCGCAACGAGCGCAACCCUCGUUCCAUGUUGCCAGCACGUGAUGGUGGGGACUCAUGGGAGAC